CAGUCGCGCGCGCGGCCGUCCCCCCGGCCCAUCUCUCUUAGUCCACCAGGAGCGACAGCGGAGCGAGCUCUUAGCAAAGCAGGCCGCACAUCGACACACGUGUGUGCGCCAUCAUUGCUGGCGAGCGGAAAAGAAGCAAAUGUAUCGCGAUUUGCAAAUAUAAACGAGACCCGCGGCACCAAGGCGGCACGGGCACAAAGAGACCCAGAGGGAAGACCCGCGCGCAAUUUAACAUCUAGGCUCAUCCCGCCCGCCUCUGCCCCGCUAAACAACAACAACAACAACAACAACAACAACAACAACAACAACAACAACAACAACAACAACAACAACAACAACAACAACAACUCCAGGCUCACAGGUACAGGUGUCUCACCCACUCCACCCGGUGUCGCGCCGCGCGCUCUAGAUAAUGCGCCUUGGGGGUUUAAUAAACGGCGCCGUUGGUGCGGCCAAUGCCAGAGCUCGGCCCGUGUGGUGUGGUGCUUGGUGCUUGUCCUCCUGGCCGGGCGGUGUUGUUGUUGUCCUCGGGGAGAAAUGAGCUCCGCAAUGAAUAAUGUGACGGGGGGAGGGGGGGGGUCAGAGAUCGACCGGAUCGUGUCAGCAAGGCAUUGUGUGCCGUGUCGAUACACAGCGGGUGGCGGAGAUACCCGAUGAGAAACCGUCCAAUGGCCUAUACAAGAGUGCCCUAAAGAGCUCUAGUGGUGCUUAAAUUUAGUGCCCUUGGCUGUUAUAGUUCACUUAUUGUUAGUGGCAAAGCUGCAUCUCUUUCUCUCUUUCUAAUAGACACAAAUACGAAUUGUCCAUCAAAUUAUUGUAACGGAUGCAAAAUUGUCCCUUGAAAGUUGCUAAAACGCAUACUGGUCAACUUAAAAAUGCAUCUGUUUAUGGACAAAAAUUGUCCCUUCAUAUUUAAUGUUUUUUCCCCUUUUGGUAUGCGACUAUGGCUAUACCCAACGAAGAAAUGUCGUUGUUGUUUUAAUGACGGAAAGCUAUGUCCGCUGGGGCUGCUUCAGGGUGGCAUGAAGGACUCGUCACGCUGCCAUUCUGCCCUAGACAGCAGCAGCAGCAGUGCUCUGGCCCUGCUGGCCCAAUUCCCUGCAUGUGUCAUUCCGUCCGUGUCCUGACAUUGCACCGCCCGGGUA